AAGUCUUCUAUUUUGCAGUUAGGAGAUGUGAGCCAAAAGAUGCGGUGAAUACUGUCCAUUCCACAGAAAGACAGGCUCCUAAAACACUACGGGGCACCCUCAUCCACUCGUUCACUGUCACAGGACCUGGCACCCUGUGGCUUCUGGCCGUUCUGUCAGGGUCUAAAUGACCAUGAAAGUUUUCAGUGGAAGUCCUACACCUAGGAUCGGUUUGGAGAAAAGGACAGGGUAGCGAAGCACUUUCCACCUACGUCCCCAACUGCUUCAAAGCCUCCUGCUGUUUGCGUCCUGCCCAGAGUUCCUGGAGCUCUCUGUAGCUAUUCGGCAGAAGUAGAACACGUUGCAGAGCCACCAGGAGGCAAAGGCACAGAAAUUGCCCGGUCACCC